rnacentral:rRNA from 1 species
CUCCUACGGGAGGCAGCAGUGGGGAAUAUUGGACAAUGGGGGCAACCCUGAUCCAGCAAUGCCGCGUGAGUGAUGAAGGCCUUAGGGUUGUAAAGCUCUUUUACCGGGGACGAUGAUGACGGUACCCGGAGAAUAAGCCCCGGCUAACUUCGUGCCAGCAGCCGCGGUAAUACGAAGGGGGCGAGCGUUGUUCGGAGUUACUGGGCGUAAAGGGCGCGUAGGCGGCGUCCCAAGUUAGGCGUGAAAGCCCCGGGCUCAACCUGGGAAUUGCGCUUAAGACUGGGAUGCUCGAGUGCGGAAGAGGUGAGUGGAAUUCCCAGUGUAGAGGUGAAAUUCGUAGAUAUUGGGAAGAACACCAGUGGCGAAGGCGGCUCACUGGUCCGCAACUGACGCUGAGGCGCGAAAGCGUGGGGAGCAAACAGGAUUAGAUACCCUGGUAGUCCACGCCGUAAACGAUGAGUGCUAGACGUUGGGGAACUUAGUUCCUUGGUGUCGCAGCUAACGCAUGAAGC